UCUGCCAACUAGGGCAGAGCGAAGGAGGCAGUUACCUGGAAUGAGACGCAGCCCAGAUCUCCUUCUCUUUACCCCUUUUUCUCCCCAAUUUUGUGGUAUCCAAUUGGUAGUUACAGUCUUGUCCCAUCGCUGCAACUCCUGUAUGGACUCGGGAGAGGUGAAGGUCGAGAGCCGUGCGUCCUCCAAAAUACGACCCUGCCAAGCGGCACUGCUAUUGGACACAAUGCCCACUUAACCCGGAAGCCCUAAUUGUGCGCCGCCCCAUGGCUCUCCCGAUCCCGGCCUGCUGUGACAGAGCCUGGACUCGAGCCAGGAUCUCUAGAGGCACAGCUAGCAUUGCAAUGAAGUGCCUUAGACCAGUGCGCCACUCGGGAGGCCCAGAUCUCCUUGUCUAAUGUAGUAUUGUUGUCCUGGCUGUGGUGUGACAGAAUGAGACGGUGGUCGUGAAGGAGAGCAACAAGAGAUCUCUAGACAUGGACGAGAUCAUCGACAACGUCAAGAAACAGUACGCAGACAUGGCCUCCCGUGCCAGAGAGGAGGCAGAGCUGUGGAACCAGAAAAAGACAUCGCCACCUACAGGAAGCUACUGGCGGGAGAGUAGAUGGUAAAUGAAUGAAUGACCACAAACGUCAUCAAGAUUACUAAAACAAACCGACCAAUCCCAGUCCUUGCUUACACGCAGACAUUGAUUUGCCAUCGAAGCCCCUCCUGACUCUGAAACCCCUCUCAUUAGAUGCCGG